CAUUCACGGAGAGUUUGAUCCUGGCUCAGGACGAACGCUGGCGGCGUGCUUAACACAUGCAAGUCGAACGAUGAACCACCUUCGGGUGGGGAUUAGUGGCGAACGGGUGAGUAACACGUGGGCAAUCUGCCCUGCACUCUGGGACAAGCCCUGGAAACGGGGUCUAAUACCGGAUACUGAACCACUUGGGCAUCCAGGUGGUUCGAAAGCUCCGGCGGUGCAGGAUGAGCCCGCGGCCUAUCAGCUUGUUGGUGAGGUAACGGCUCACCAAGGCGACGACGGGUAGCCGGCCUGAG
rnacentral:rRNA from 1 species